AAUAAUGUUCUCUUUUUAGGUGCUUCUUUCAAUAGAAGAUAAUAGGGAAUCAGGUGUAAUUCCUGAACGGGUCCGCCACUGUUAAACAGUAAUCAACUAAAACCACUCAAUUAUUAUUGGGGAAGGUUAGCUGCUAAAGCUGUAAAGUCAGGAGACCUGCCUAAAAAGAUAACAGCCA
rnacentral:ncRNA from 2 species